ACCUACGGGGGGCAGCAGUAGGGAAUUUUCGUCAAUGGGCGCAAGCCUGAACGAGCAAUGCCGCGUGAACGAGGAAGGUCUUCGGAUCGUAAAGUUCUGUUGAAGGGGAAAAAGAGCGGAGAGAGGAAAUGGUCUCCGAUUGAUAUUACCCUUCGAGGAAGUCACGGCUAGCUACGUGCCAGCAGCCGCGGUAAUACGUAGGUGGCGAGCGUUAUCCGGAAUGAUUGGGCGUAAAGGGUGCGUAGGCGGCCUGCUAAGUCUGGAGUGAAAGGUACCGGCUCAACCGGUACAGGCUCUGGAAACUG
rnacentral:rRNA from 1 species